rnacentral:tRNA from 1 species
GGGGCUGUAGCUCAGUUGGGAGAGCGCUUGAAUGGCAUUCAAGAGGUCGGGGGUUCGAUUCCCCCAGCUCCACCA